rnacentral:rRNA from 1 species
AUUGAACGCUGGCGGCAUGCCUUACACAUGCAAGUCGAACGGCAGCACGGGUGCUUGCACCUGGUGGCGAGUGGCGAACGGGUGAGUAAUACAUCGGAACAUGUCCUGUAGUGGGGGAUAGCCCGGCGAAAGCCGGAUUAAUACCGCAUACGAUCUACGGAUGACAGCGGGGGACCUUCGGGCCUCGCGCUAUAGGGUUGGCCGAUGGCUGAUUAGCUAGUUGGUGGGGUAAAGGCCUACCAAGGCGACGAUCAGUAGCUGGUCUGAGAGGACAACCAGCCACACUGGGACUGAGACACGGCCCAGACUCCUACGGGAGGCAGCAGUGGGGAAUUUUGGACAAUGGGCGAAAGCCUGAUCCAGCAAUGCCGCGUGUGUGAAGAAGGCCUUCGGGUUGUAAAGCACUUUUGUCCGGAAAGAAAUCCUUGGCCCUAAUACGGUCGGGGGAUGACGGUACCGGAAGAAUAAGCACCGGCUAACUACGUG